ACUCUAGUAUUUACCUCAAUACACAUGGAUUGAGGUGGAUUGGAGUGUAUGAACUAACUUACACUACAAUUCACCUCAAUCCAUGUGUAUUGAGGUAAAUACUAGA
rfam:Zea mays cultivar B73 chromosome 5, whole genome shotgun sequence.